AGAGUUUGAUCAUGGCUCAGAGUGAACGCUGGCGGCGUGCCUAACACAUGCAAGUCGAACGAGAACGGAAUCUAGCUUGCUAGAUUUGUCAGCUAAGUGGCGCACGGGUGAGUAAUAUAUAGUUAAUCUGCCCCAAAGAAGAGAAUAAUUGUUGGAAACGACUUGUAAUGCUCUAUAUGCCUUUAUCACAAAAGUGAGCAAGGGAAAUAUUUAUAGCUUUGGGAUGAGACUGUACGGUAUCAGCUAGUUGGUGAGGUAAUGGCUCACCAAGGCUAUGACAUCUAACUGGUUUGAGAGGAUGAUCAGUCACACUGGAACUGAGACACGGUCCAGACUCCUACGGGAGGCAGCAGUGGGGAAUAUUGCACAAUGGAGGAAACUCUGAUGCAGCAACGCCGCGUGGAGGAUGACACAUUUCGGUGCGUAAACUCCUUUUAUUAGGGAAGAUAAUGACGGUACCUAAUGAAUAAGCACCGGCUAACUCCGUGCCAGCAGCCGCGGUAAUACGGAGGGUGCAAGCGUUACUCGGAAUCACUGGGCGUAAAGCGCGCGCAGGCGGCUAUUUAAGUUGGAUGUGAAAGCCUACGGCUCAACCGUAGAACUGCAUCCAAAACUAUUUAGCUAGAGUGUGGGAGAGGAAGAUGGAAUUAGUUGUGUAGGGGUAAAAUCCGUAGAGAUAACUAGGAAUACCAAAAGCGAAGGCAAUCUUCUGGAACACUACUGACGCUGAGGCGCGAAGGCGUGGGGAGCAAACAGGAUUAGAUACCCUGGUAGUCCACGCAGUAAACGAUGAAUGUUAGUCGUCGGGUAGCUAGUCUAUUCGGUGAUGCAGCUAACGCAUUAAACAUUCCGCCUGGGGAGUACGGUCGCAAGAUUAAAACUCAAAGGAAUAGACGGGGACCCGCACAAGUGGUGGAGCAUGUGGUUUAAUUCGAAGAUACGCGAAGAACCUUACCUAGCCUUGAC
rnacentral:rRNA from 1 species